rnacentral:rRNA from 1 species
AUGCAGUCGAGCGCCCCGCAAGGGGAGCGGCAGACGGGUGAGUAACGCGUGGGAACGUACCCUUUACUACGGAACAACUCCGGGAAACUGGAGCUAAUACCGUAUGUGCCCUUUGGGGGAAAGAUUUAUCGGUAAAGGAUCGGCCCGCGUUGGAUUAGCUAGUUGGUGGGGUAAAGGCCUACCAAGGCGACGAUCCAUAGCUGGUCUGAGAGGAUGAUCAGCCACAUUGGGACUGAGACACGGCCCAAACUCCUACGGGAGGCAGCAGUGGGGAAUAUUGGACAAUGGGCGCAAGCCUGAUCCAGCCAUGCCGCGUGAAUGAUGAAGGCCUUAGGGUUGUAAAGUUCUUUCACCGGAGAAGAUAAUGACGGUAUCCGGAGAAGAAGCCCCGGCUAACUUCGUGCCAGCAGCCGCGGUAAUACGAAGGGGGCUAGCGUUGUUCGGAAUUACUGGGCGUAAAGCGCACGUAGGCGGACAUUUAAGUCAGGGGUGAAAUCCCAGAGCUCAACUCUGGAACUGCCUUUGAUACUGGGUGUCUUGAGUGUGGAAGAGGUCAGUGGAAUUGCGAGUGUAGAGGUGAAAUUCGUAGAUAUUCGCAGGAACACCAGUGGCGAAGGCGGCUGACUGGUCCACAACUGACGCUGAGGUGCGAAAGCGUAGGGAGCAAACAGGAUUAGAUACCCUGGUAGUCCACGCCGUAAACGAUGAAUGUUAGUCGUCGGGCAGUUUACUGUUCGGUGACGCAGCUAACGCAUUAAACAUUCCGCCUGGGGAGUACGGUCGCAAGAUUA